rnacentral:rRNA from 1 species
CACCGGGGCAUGCCUAGUACGGCGAGUGAGCGGCAACAGCUCAAAUUUGAAAUCUGGCUCUUUCAGAGUCCGAGUUGUAAUUUGCAGAGGGCGCUUUGGCUUUGGCAGCGGUCCAAGUUCCUUGGAACAGGACGUCACAGAGGGUGAGAAUCCCGUACGUGGUCGCUAGCUAUUGCCGUGUAAAGCCCCUUCGACGAGUCGAGUUGUUUGGGAAUGCAGCUCUAAAUGGGAGGUAAAUUUCUUCUAAAGCUAAAUAUUGGCCAGAGACCGAUAGCGCACAAGUAGAGUGAUCGAAAGAUGAAAAGCACUUUGGAAAGAGAGUCAAACAGCACGUGAAAUUGUUGAAAGGGAAGCGCUUGCAGCCAGACUUGCUUGCAGUUGCUCAUCCGGGCUUUUGCCCGGUGCACUCUUCUGCAGGCAGGCCAGCAUCAGUUUGGGCGGUGGGAUAAAGGUCUCUGUCACGUACCUCUCUUCGGGGAGGCCUUAUAGGGGAGGCGACAUACCACCAGCCUGGACUGAGGUCCGCGCAUCUGCUAGGAUGCUGGCGUAAUGGCUGUAAGCGGCCCGUCUUGAACCCCCGGACCAAAAAAAAAAAAAGAGUGCGU